GCAAAAACAUUUCUUUUACAAACAAACAAACAAACAAAAAAAACCCAACCAACAGUAUUGUACAGACUAGGAUUCCCUAACCUAAGAAAAACAAUGAGGCAUAUUCAUAGGUGUAUAAAGACAACCAUCUGUCACACUCUUUGGUUCUGGCGCCUUUCCCAUGCUAAGCACUUAAACUAUAAACUCUAGUCCCCACGCUGCAUAAUUCACGUUUGUGCACAUGGUGCUGAGGACCAACCCUGGAGCCUUGCACACGCUGCACAAGUACUCUGCCACUGGGCCACACCCUUAGCCCUAGAAUAGCUGCAGUGAGAGGUGGAUAGAGACAACUUAAAUGUCAAAUAUAAACCAUUAACUUAUGGUUGAAUAAAUAGUGCAAUCUACAUUAGUAUGACAUAGUCACUAAGAAAACAACUUUUUUUAAAAAUAUUUAUUUAUUAUGUAUACAAUAUUCUGUCUGUGUGUAUGUCUGACAUACAGAAGAGGGCACAAGGCCUCACCACAGAUGGUUGUGAGCCACCAUGUGGUUGCCAGGAAUUGAACUCAGGAUCUUUGGAAGAGCAGGCAAUGCUCUUAACCACUGAGCCAUCUCUCCAGGCCCAAGAAAACAACUUUUUGAAGAAAAAAAAAUUACUCACCUUGGAAGAGUGCUGACAGAAAUUUUAAAUGAAAACAAAUGAGGGUUUGAGUACCCUCUGAUUCAAUUAUAGUUAGGUAAUAUACACAAGCAGAGAAAAUAUGCCAAAGCACCUAAGUAGAGGGAUUAUGGCUUUUUGCUUACUAAGUUCUGUAACUUUUCUAUAAGUUAGGAAAUCCCAGAAGAUUUAAUAAUUAAAUGGUUAAGUUCUUUAAUAGGCCCAAAAAUCUGGCUAAACUGCAACAAACACUUGUGGGGAGCUAAGGAAGCCCUGAGCAAAUGUGUAUUGUUGACUUGGGCACAGCUGUCAAGGACCUAACGUCUCAGAUCCCAUGGGAGUGGCAAAUCCUCUCGUCUCAGUGCAAAUGAGGACACUGUGACAAUUGGCCGGUGUGACAACUGCCGUGCAGCAGCAGCCUCUUACUCCUGAGUGACUGAGAUGGUCAUCUAUAAAGACCCUCUCCUGUGCUAGACACAAUAAAUACACAGAGGUUCUGAGGUGCUGAGUAGGAGUGCUCCAUUAGAGCAAGCACAGCCUCCCUGACCUCAACUUCUAUGCGUGUAUGUGUCCCUUCUUUAUUUCCUCACUGCUCCAGUCAGGUUUUUAGGACCAAGCCAUGCUGGACUCGGCAGACAAUGGUGCCAAACUUUAGAAGAACGAACUAUGCACUGUAUCUAUAAUAGUGAUAGCAGAUAGCACUGAGGACCCCACUGUGACCUGGGAGUGUUCCAAAUGCUUUUCUUGCAUUAACUUCUGGUGAGAUUCACCAAGAAUCAGAGCAAAUCUUGGCAAAGUCAUAUGGUCACUUGAGAAGAUGCAGACAGAAUCCCAAUCUGGUUUUCCUGGGCUGUAGCAGAUAAGCACUGGUCCUCUUUGCUCUGAACUGGAAGACCCAAAGUCUCAGAGCUACACAAUGGAGUGGAACCCCCUCCAUGGGUCUUAGUUUAACUUUUUUUUUUUUUUUUAAAUUUUUGAAUACAGGCUGGCCUAGAACUUGCUAUGCAGACUAGGCUAGUGGCUGGUACUCUACCUCCUGAGGGCUGGGAUUAAAGGCAUGCACCAUCACAUCUGGCAGUUAUGGGUAGUCACGAGCCAGUGUCUUCCUCUCACUUUUACAGGCUCCCCUUACCCAAGAAGGUUCUAUUUCAAUAAAUACUUGGCAAACAGUAACUACUCUACAAAGAAUAGGAUUCCUACCUCUGUACUUAGGAGAAAUAGAAUUCUGGUGUUGCUCUUCUAGCCUGUGAAUAAGCAUUAAAUCCCAGGAGUCUUGAGACUCCAUAGGAAAGUGUGGCAAGAGGAAGCAAACAGGAGUGAACACAGGUCGCAGUAGGUCAGUGGGCACUGGCCCAUUUCUUGUAGGAAGGAAAGAAAACACACUUCCUCAAGUGUUUAGUGCCUCCCUGCAUCACCAGCCCUUCUCUCCCAUCUGCUGACACUUAAGUCUCUCCUGAGAGCUCGGAAAGUCACCAGCCUGGGAAUCUUGAUAGACUGGUCAGAAGAACAAGGCUGAAUUAUAGACAAGUUCUUUUAUUUAUUUAUUUUUAUUUGAUGUGCAUUAGGUGUUUUACCUGCAUGUAUGUCUGUGUGAGGGCAUUGGAUCCCCUGGUACCAAAGUUACAGAUAGGUGUGAGCUGCCAUGUGGGUGUUGAGAAUUGAACCCGGGUACACUGGAAGAGCAGCCAAUGUUCUUAACCAUUGAGUCAUGUCCAGCCUUGUCCAGUAACUAUGGACAAGAUCUUAAGCAGGUUCUUUUGUUUUGUUUUUGGCAUCAGCUAGAUGUCAACUCAGAUACCACCUCUGUGAAGCAUUCCUGACCAGCCUAGUCUAAAGUGCUCCUUGCUGGACUGCUAUGCUCUGUGCUCCCCAAAGCCUCUCAAGGAGAGGGUGCUAACUUAUUUACUUGACCUCCUCACCUGGAACAACAGCCAGGACCCUGCAGUCCACGGGACUAAUGCUAACCAUUACCUGUCUCUCGCAUAAGCCUACAGCUGCAACCAGGCCCUUGCAGCCCACGGGCCUAAUCGUAAUCAUUAACUGUCUCUUGCACACGCCUACAGCUGCUGUCAGCUACCAUAGCAGAGUGGAGCUGUUGCAACAGAAACUGUCUUGAGCCUGUAAAGCCUACACUAUUGACAGCCUCGUUCUUUACACAUGUAAGGUUCCUCAGCAUAGGCUCAGACCAGGACACCCUCACCUGCUUCCAGAUGGUGACACAGGGAGAGAGCUGCCGGGAAGAAGCCCAUGCUGCUGCUGCUGCCCCUGGAGCUGAUGCGCUGAUACAAGCCAGAUGCAGUCUGGCCCAGCUGCACAAACAGUUCCAGCAGGUUCAUCAACAGCUCGUCCACAAGAUGUUCUUCCUGAAUGUUGGCUGCAAUGUUGGCCAGGGCAUUGAUCACUGCUAGGGAACAGUGCCUAAAGAAAAGGAACAAAGG